rnacentral:rRNA from 1 species
CUGAUGCAGCGACGCCGCGUGAGGGAUGACGGCCUUCGGGUUGUAAACCUCUUUCAGCAGGGAAGAAGCGAAAGUGACGGUACCUGCAGAAGAAGCGCCGGCUAACUACGUGCCAGCAGCCGCGGUAAUACGUAGGGCGCAAGCGUUGUCCGGAAUUAUUGGGCGUAAAGAGCUCGUAGGCGGCUUGUCACGUCGGGUGUGAAAGCCCGGGGCUUAACCCCGGGUCUGCAUUCGAUACGGGCUAGCUAGAGUGUGGUAGGGGAGAUCGGAAUUCCUGGUGUAGCGGUGAAAUGCGCAGAUAUCAGGAGGAACACCGGUGGCGAAGGCGGAUCUCUGGGCCAUUACUGACGCUGAGGAGCGAAAGCGUGGGGAGCGAACAGGAUUAGAUACCCUGGUAGUCCACGCCGUAAACGGUGGGAACUAGGUGUUGGCGACAUUCCACGUCGUCGGUGCCGCAGCUAACGCAUUAAGUUCCCCGCCUGGGGAGUACGGCCGCAAGGCUAAAACUC